rnacentral:rRNA from 1 species
UACGUAGGGCGCAAGCGUUGUCCGGAAUUAUUGGGCGUAAGGAGCUCGUAGGCGGCCUGUUGCGUCCGCUGUGAAAACCCGGGGCUUAACCCCGGGCUUGCAGUGGAUACGGGCAGGCUGGAGGCAGGCAGGGGAGAACGGAAUUCCCGGUGUAGCGGUGAAAUGCGCAGAUAUCGGGAAGAACACCCGUGGCGAAGGCGGCACUCUGGGACGGUACUGACGCUGAGACGCGAAAGCGUGGGGAGCGAACAGG